GCUGCCAAACGUUUCACACACACACUCAUGCAGACACACACACUUGCAUUAGCAUCUGGACCGAGUGUUUAGAGGUGGGUUGGCAGUCUGGAGCAACAGCAGAAGGGGACAUUCACAGUCAGACUGCAGUGGACUAAACGAUCAAAUCUGUAUAUGAGAUAAACAUGCAUGUCCUUUAAUGUUACGGUCAGUUUUGUCCUUUGUUUCCCAAAUGGACAUGGAUGCAACUGACCACAGCGUUUCCAGAAGGCUCUGAUGUUCUGCAAGGACAAGGCGGGUUCGUUUUGGGUUCUUCACCUUAUAUGGAUCAAACAGAGACGUCCAGGAUCUGCUCCGGGUGACAGCCAGAGCGAGCUCACUGUGGCAUUUGUGUGUUUGCGUCUCUCUCGAGCUGUGGAAUGUCAGUCUGGAAGCCGGCGCAGAUUCCCAGAGGCGAGUUUUGAGACUUGAGGCGUGACGGGCCGUCAGAACCACUGACCCUGAGAGAGCCCGGUGUCGAUCGGCUGCAAUGGGACAACUGAGACGGUGGAGUCUUUUUGUUUUUCCUGAUAAUCAUCCUCACAGCAGAGGAGACUCUGAGCUUGGCUUUCCUCUGAAAUCCGUCACACUUUGAGUCCCUCUUGAGAGGUUUUUGCGAGUCCUGUUCUUGUCCAUGCCUGUCAUUACCCUACAGGUCAAAGGGUGGAAUGUCGUGAGACCAUCCUGUGAGUCUUGCAUUGGCGCUGCGUCUCGUGCUGAUGGGAGCUGCUGCACCAUCAUGAGUUGCCAUGACGCUGGAGGGCGUCGUCGUUUCGAGGACUCGGAGUUCACCUUGCGCGUGUACCCCGGCGCGCUGUCAGAGGGCACCAUCUACUGCCCCAUCACUGCUCGAAAGGUCACCUCGGCCGCUGAGGUCAUCGAGCAGGUCAUCGCAAGGCUGCAGUUGGAUCGUGCAAGGUUGUACGUGCUCGCAGAGGUGAAGGAAUUCGGCGGGGAAGAAUGGAUACUGAACCCGGGAGACUCUCCGGUACAGCGCAUGAUGCUGUGGCCGCGUAUGGCGCUGGAAAACCGGCUAGGUGGCGAAGACUACCGCUUCCUUUUGCGAGAAAAGAACGUGGAUGGAUCGAUCCACUACGGAAGUCUGCAGAUGUGGUUGCGAGUUACGGAGGAGAGGCGACGGAUGAUCGAACGUGGUCUACUCCCGCAGCCUCCCGCCGGACAACACGUUGCCGAUCUUUGCGCACUCCCGGACUUGAACGAGCUAACUUUGCUCGAGAAUCUUCGUGGACGUUUUCGGCAAGAGAAAAUCUAUACGUACGUUGGCGGGAUUCUAAUAGUCGUCAAUCCGUUCAAGUUCCUGCCCAUUUACAAUCCCAAAUACGUGAAAAUGUACGAUAAUCACCAGCUGGGGAAGUUGGAGCCGCAUAUUUAUGCGGUGGCAGACGUGGCGUACCACACCAUGCUCCAGAGGGAGAGGAACCAGUGCAUUGUGAUAUCUGGAGAGAGCGGAUCAGGAAAGACCCAGAGCACCAACUUUCUGAUUCAUCACCUGACGGCGCUCAGCCAGAAGGGCUUCGCUAGCGGCGUAGAGCAGAUCAUACUUGGAGCAGGACCUGUACUGGAGGCUUUUGGAAAUGCCAAAACUGCCCAUAAUAACAAUUCCAGCCGCUUCGGCAAGUUCAUCCAAGUCAACUACCAGAAGAGUGGAACUGUGAGAGGAGCUUAUGUGGAGAAAUAUCUUUUGGAAAAAUCUCGACUGGUUUAUCAAGAGCACAAUGAAAGGAACUAUCAUGUGUUUUAUUAUCUGUUGGCUGGAGCGAGUGAAGAAGAGAAAAAAUCAUUCCACCUGCUCAAACCAGAGGAGUAUCAUUACCUGAAUCAGAUAACAAAGACAGUCUACAGACAGUCUCAGCACUGGGGAAAUUACUAUGAAACUGAGCUGGACUGUUUCAAGGUUGAAGGGGAAGAUUUGAAGCAUGACUUCGAGCGGCUCCAGUUGGCGAUGGAGAUGGUGGGAUUCCUUCCUGCCACGAGAAAACAAAUCUUCACAUUACUGUCUGCUAUUCUUCACCUGGGGAACAUUCGCUACAAAAAGAAAACGUACAGAGACGACUCCAUCAAUAUCUGUAACCCAGAGGUGCUUCCGAUCGUUUCUGAACUGCUGGAGGUUAAAGAGGAAAUGCUUUUUGAAGCUCUGACCACACGGAAGACGGUAACCGUGGGAGAGAGAUUGAUCGUGCCGUACAAACUAGCUGAGGCAGGGACAGUAAGGGACUCAAUGGCGAAGUCUCUGUACGGAGCUCUCUUCGACUGGAUCGUCUUCCGCACAAAUCACGCGCUGCUGUACAACAAAGACCUGGAGGAUUCUGCCAAGAUCCUCUCUAUCGGUGUGCUGGAUAUCUUCGGUUUUGAGGAUUAUGAGAACAACAGUUUUGAGCAGUUCUGCAUCAACUUUGCCAAUGAAACGCUUCAGCAUUAUUUCAACCAGCACAUCUUUAAACUAGAGCAGGAGGAGUAUCGAUCAGAGGGCAUCAGCUGGCACAUGAUCGAUUAUAUCGAUAACACGGCUUGUAUCAACCUGAUCAGCAAAAAACCCACAGCACUGCUCCACCUGCUGGACGAAGAGUGCAAUUUUCCUCAGGCGUCGAAUCAAACUCUGCUGGACAAGUUUAAGCGACAGCACGAAGGAAACAGCUACAUUGAGUUUCCUGCCGUCAUGGAGCCGGCGUUCAUCAUACGACACUACGCUGGGAAGGUGAAAUAUGGCGUCAAGGACUUCAGGGAGAAGAACACGGAUCACAUGCGUCCGGAUAUCGUGGCGCUGUUGAAAAGCAGUCGCAAUGCGUUUAUUUGCAGUCUGAUGGGAAUCGAUCCCGUCGCCACGUUCCGCUGGGCUGCGAUCCGGGCGUAUUUCAGAGCCGUCGUGGCAUUCCGAGAGGCGGGGAAAAGAUACAAGGAGAAAAAGACGGACACCGAUUCUCCGGUUCAGAAUCAGAAAAGUGUGGACAGCUUCAGUUUCCUGCAUCACCCUGUUCACCAGCGGAGCCUUGAGAUCCUUCAGCGAUGCAAAGACGACAAAUACAAUUCGUGUAUCAGCCGGAAAAAUCCACGCACUCCACUGUCAGAUCUUCAGGGUACCAACACGAUCAGUGAGAAACUAAACAGGGAUGGAUUCUUGGGCUGUAAUGUUCGUAGCUCGAGAUCGGAGCAUGUCUCCUCUUUCUCCCAUGAAGAGGAGGGAAUUUUCGUAAACAGCAUCAGUAACAAACUUCUAGGGAGAGCUCAAGGCAUCCUGAUGCGAAACAAGAACUUCAAGACGAAACUCAGUCUCCCGAAGCAUCUGUUAGACGUGAAAUCGUUGAAAUAUCUGAGCAGUUUGACACUUCACGAUCGCAUCACCAAAUCACUGCUGCAUCUACACAAGAAGAAGAAGCCGCCCAGUAUCAGCGCCCAGUUCAACGCGUCUCUUAACAAACUGAUGGAGACACUGGGACAGUCAGAGCCAUACUUUGUGAAAUGCAUUCGGUCUAAUGCAGAAAAGCUUCCGCUGCGUUUCAAUGACGCGCUCGUAUUGCGACAGCUGCGCUACACUGGCAUGCUGGAGACCGUUAGAAUACGACAGUCUGGAUACAGUGUGAAAUACACUUUUCAGGAAUUUGCACAUCAUUUUCACGUGCUGUUACCAGCUGUAUUCUGUCCCACUCAAGCGGGCAUCAGAGACUUUCUGCAGACUGCCAACCUCGAGCCAAACGGGUAUCAAGUGGGCAGGACUAUGGUGUUUUUGCGGGAGCUUCUACGUCAGAGGCUGCAGGAUGAACUUCAUCGGGAGGUUUUGAGGAGAAUCGUUUGUUUACAGCAGAAGUUCAGAGCUCAGCAGGAGAGAAAACACUUCUGCAGCCAGAAGCGAGCCGCACGGAUCAUACAGCGUUGGUGGCGUGCUUGUAUGCUAACUAAUGCUGACGAGAGCGCGACUUACACGGAGCUCCAGCACGGGGCAGUAGUGUGUCUUCAGGCGGCAUGGAGGGGCUACAGAGUGAGACGACUCUAUAUGCUGCAGAAGAGAGCCGUGGCGGUCAUACAGAAACGCUGGAGGAGAUACCUGCAGAUGCGCGAGAAAGCAGCAGGACACAUACAGUCAGCCUGGAGGACGCAUUGUCAGAGACAGAGAUAUUUGCGGCAGUGCAGGGCGGCCGUCACGCUACAGGCGGCCUGCAGGGGGCACAAGGCUCGACAGAGGUGCCGCUUCCUGAGAGAGCUGCGACUUAAAGAGAAAACCCUCGAAAACAAGGUGGAUCCAAACACUGUGACACAAAGUUUAAGUGUUCCUCAAAACACAACCGAAGUCAAGACCACUCACCUGGACACACAAGUACCUGAACCGGCCGUAGAGCCGCCACAGGCUGAGGAGGAGUUCAAGGAGAUACGAGAAAAGCAAUCUGCCGAACCUCCAAGAACCGUGGACGACAGCACGCUGAAGAGCCGCAACAAACGAGAGAGCCGGAGGAAACGAGAACUCGAACAGGCCACGUUCAGUUUAGAACUGCUUAAAGUCCGGUCUGGUUCGGUGCCCAGCUCGGACCAGACUGAAGUAACGGACAACACACUCCCCUCUCAAAACCCUCUUACCAAACGACUCACUUCCUCGCCUCAGGUGUCUCCAGAUAGCCAAGAAAGCUUUGAGCACUUUGGCUUUCACAACGACGAGGUCACGACAACUGAACUUCCUCCUCAGCAAGAGACGCCUGCUGUUGUCAAAUCCGAGCCAAUGGAGGUGAACCAAAGUAUGGAGUCAUCCAAUCCAGUUCAGCAAAGCCCAACAUCAUCCAAGCCUUGCUUCUACAUCCUAGACAAAGAAAGCAGUCCGGCCAAAACUUCUCCACGGAGGCCAAACGGCACCAAGAGGGAGAAGAAGGAAUCAGUGCUGGUCAUCAUCAGUAUGCAGAAAGAGAACCCCGUAGACCAGACAAGCCUGGAAGCUUUUCAAAGACUGGAAAUGGAAGCUGAGGAGAUGCCAACUGCUGCCCACCAAGAAACAGUCUCAGACGAAAGAUGUAAUGGUGUGUCCUCUCUAGAUCAUCCAAACGUACAACCUGACCUGAACCCAGAACCUCAAACCAAUCAUGGCCUCGUCAUUUCUUCGACCACAUCCAAACCCCUCCAGCUGGACCGGAGGGGGGCAGUGUCUGGACAGGAAGUGACAUCAGAGCCUAGAACAGAAGUUCAAGCUCAGAAGUUGGUGACUCAGAGCAUCAGUGUCAGUAUGAAGGAGAAAACCACUAAUCUGUCCUUCUCUCCCAAACGUAGCCGACUCACCUUCUCCAAGUCAGAUAAAGAUCUUGUGAAUCAGGAACGCUCUUUGGCUCUUCAAAGAGAAGCAGGAUUCAGAUCGUUGAAGAACAGAGAGGUGACCAGAGCGGGUUAUAAAAAGAAAGCUCGUAUGGCUGGGACACGCUCUGAUUUCCUGACCCGUGCCUGUAGCACUGAGGUCGACUCAGACGAUGAAGAUGAUGAUGAAUUCGAGUACACGCCUGUGUUCUCUCGCACACUGGCUUUCCAAGAAUCCCAUGACUUCCCCUACCCGGCCUGCCACAGUGACUCCGAGAUGUCUCAGUUGUCUCAGAAGGAACUGAAGAAGGUCCAGAAGACCAUGUCCUCAGGAGAUCUGGGGAAGAUGGAUUCCCUCAGAAAGUCUCUGUCCCAUACAGACAGCAGGGUCAGGGGCAAAAUGCGGUUCUGGAGUAAAAGCAAGCAUGGAGAUAAGAAGAUGUCCACUAGGGGACGCUCCGAUGACUCUGAGGUCACAGACGGCAGGCAUGGCUCUCCUCCAGGCAGCCCUGAACAUGCUGGACUCUCAGAGCGUGGACGAGAUAGUAAAGAGAACCGCGAGCCGAUGAUGGGCAUGAUGUCGGUGAAGAGGAGACGCAGUGUGAAAAUCAGCAGCAUUUCUCUUGAAUCUUCCGCAUGGCAGAACGAUUCGCUCCACAUUCUUACCAGCACGGCAGACUACCGCAGCAUGAACGACUUUCUUAUGAAGAAGAUCAGUGAUCUGGAUGCUGAAGAUGGCCAGAAUGACACACCAGUGGACGUGGUGUUUAAGAAAGCUCUGAAAGAGUUUCGCCUCAAUAUCUUCAACUCUUAUUCUACUGCACUGGCCAUGGACGAUGGCAGAAGUAUUCGUUAUAAAGAUCUCUAUGCUCUUUUCGAGCACAUUCUAGAAAAGAGCAUGCGUCUGGAGCAGAGAGAUUGGAGCGAGUCACCUGUUAAAGUCUGGGUCAACACGUUCAAAGUCUUCCUCGAUGAGUUCAUGACUGAGAACAAGCCCAUCGAUGGAACCAUCAGUAAGGCUCCCAAACCUGAGAGGAAGAAGAGACGGAAAAAGGAAUCAGAUACUGUUGAGGAGCACAUGGGUCACAUCUUUAAAUCCACUCAGUACAGCAUCCCGACAUACUGCGAGUUCUGUUCAUCACUCAUCUGGAUGAUGGACAAAGCAUGUGUCUGCAAACUUUGCCGUUACGCAUGUCACAGGAAGUGCUGUCUGAGGAUGACCACUAAAUGCAGUAAAAAGUUUGACCCCGAGCUGUCUUCACGGCAGUUUGGCGUUGAGUUGUCUCGUUUAACGAGUGAUGAGCGAGCCGUGCCGUUGGUGGUGGAGAAACUGAUUAACUACAUCGAGAUGCAUGGACUCUACACUGAGGGCAUCUACAGGAAGUCUGGAUCCACCAAUAAAAUCAAAGAACUCAAACUGGGACUGGACACAGAUGUGAGCAGCGUGAAUUUAGACGACUACAACAUCCACGUCAUUGCGAGUGUUCUGAAACAGUGGCUGCGUGACCUCCCGAACCCCCUCAUGACCUUUGAACUGUAUGAGGAAUUCCUCAGGGCUAUGGGUCUACAGGAUAACCGUGAGGUGGUCCAGGGUGUUUAUUCAGUUAUUGAUCAGCUCAGCAGAACUCAUCUGUGCACAUUAGAGAGACUCAUAUUUCACCUGGUCAGGAUCUUGUUCCAGGAGGAGACUAACCGCAUGUCUGCGAAUGCGCUAGCAAUCGUGUUUGCACCCUGCAUACUGCGCUGUCCCGACACCACUGACCCGUUACAGAGCGUCCGGGACAUCAGCAAGACCACUGCUUGUGUGGAGCUGAUUAUCUGUGAGCAGAUGAGGAAAUAUAAAGCUCGUCUGAAGGACAUCAACACACUGGAGUUUGCCGAAAGUAAAGCCAAGAGUCGCCUCACACACAUCCGACGCUCGAUGAAACCGGUACUAAUCGCGGUUAGGUUUAUUGGCAUUACAAGAUCUGCCGCGCCGGGUAAGGGGCGUUUACGCAAGAGUGGUCACCACACCCCCUCCCCGCCCAUGAGCCCACAGAUGGCAGAGAGGGAGGAGUCAGGUGAUGAAGGGGCGGAGUCUGGGCUCAGUGAACCUCAGCAAGCAGCUAUGCAACAGGAAGAAAGAGUCCUGACACAGCAGAUAGAAACUCUGCAGAAAGAGAAGGAAGAGCUUACCUAUGAGAUGCUGGCUUUGGAGCCCAGAGCAUCCGAUGAUGAAAUGCUGGAGUCAGAAGCAUCUAUCGGAACAGCAGACAGCUCAGAAAACCUCAUGGAAUCAGAAGAAAAAAGUCCCGGCGCGGUAUUGGCUACACGUUGGCGAAAACCGGAGUCCAAAAGCAGGCGAGGUUUACGGCGACAGCCUGAAUCUCUGGACUCCGUAGACUCGGCCGUGGCGUCACUCUCCUCCGUGGCGUCCAUCCCUCACUAUCGGUUCCGUUCAUCCUCCUCCGGGCCUCUCUUUUUCUCGGGCUCUGCUGGAGGGGACUUGCACAUUCUUCCUGACCGGGAGGACUCGGAACCGGCCAGCCUGACCACCCGAUGUGCCUCCAGCUCAGAGAAAAACCGUCCGCGGCCCAGAGGAAACCGCAGCUGCCCACCAAAGUCCCGCGAGCCAGGCGAAGCCGGCGGCCGCCGAAGAGAGCAUGAAUAUGGUUCCGCUCAGCCAUUAGUGCUAUAUGGAAGUAAUGAAUUUAUGGUCUGACUUUGAUAUGCCUCCUAGUGGCUGAAGCUGGUAGCGUGUGGCACUUUCAAAGCGGAAAGACAACAAGAAUUGUCAGAACUCAGUUUGGAAAAGUGGAACAGAAAGCCUUUAACUGGAUAGAUGUUUCCCUUUCCAGCAAGCAAAAUGGAAGAAAAAAUUUAAUGACUGAGAAAAAAAAAAAAAACGAUAAUGAGAAAUACUGGGUGUUGCAGUGAACGUCCCAAUAUCCAUGACCUACUGACUGUAAAACGGACCAGCUGGACCGGUCCGGUUUUUUGCAACAUAUUCUAAGAAUAGUUUAGAACAGGGAAUGAACGAUUUUUAACACAUAACGUCCAUUUUCAUGUUUACAGAACUGAGCCAAUGAGAGGUCAUGUGACCUUUCUGACUGCAUGCCGUAUUGAUACCGUUUUGUUUUCACUCUCUGAUUAAGAAAACCUUUGAUAAAGUGCUAAAUAUGUAAAAUAUGAUUUUAUUAUUGAUAUGGGUCAAAAGAAUCAUGUAAAUAGCUGAAAUCUCUGUGCUGCUGGUCGACCUGUGAAAAUUUAAUAACGUCUUUUUAUUUGAAAAGCGUGUGAAUCUGGUGUCUCUUGCUGUCUGUAUGUUGUGUCUUUUUUUAUUUUUUAUAUGGGUGAAUCUAAUGAAAACUUAUCUAGGUAUCAAACCGAAACCAAUAGAACAAAAAUAUGAAAUUAUAUUUCGAUAAAGAAAAUGGAGCCUUUAUUUAGGGCCGUCAAGAUUUUUGCUUUGUGGCAUUAUUUUCGUGACAAUUAAGGACAUUUCUACACAAAAUUCUCUUACACUGUUCCAUAGGUCCCAUUAUAAUCAAUGAAGCUGUCUACACUGGAAACAUCCGUUGUGGGGCAUCACGUAACAUAGCAGUAAACAGUAAACAAAUGCCCCGUUCUGUUGCUGACUGCAGAGUUACUCCAGCAACUUGAUCAUCCCGUCCGUCUGAUGUUUCUGGACUCUGGUCUACAAUAUUUUGUGUCUAACCACAUGUAUGCGCAGCUUUAGCAACAAUAACAUUACAAUAAUAAUUAUACCAGUAAAUUUCCAUUGAAAAAUUAAGGUUAUUUUCUGUUUAACCCUUGCUGAAGUCUGCUCGAGCUCACAGCUGAUUGGUCCGUGCUUUCUACACGUUAUUUACAGUAGAUGUGUCCAAACGUUGUACUUUGAAAGUUUUUUUGUUGUUGUUGUUUUUUGGUCAUGUUCAUUCUCAACUGUAUGGUAUAGAGUCCCUUAGAGGACAAGGCAGGAAUUUUUAUUUCUGAAAUAGUUUUGCGUUCCCUCGUAAAAGUUUAGCGUUCCCUCGCAACAGUUUAGCGUUCCCUCAUAACAGUUUAGCGUUCCCUCAUAACAGUCUAGCGUUCCCUCAAAACAGUCUUGCGUUCCCUCCCAACCGUUUUGCGUUCCCUCCCAACCGUUUUGCGUUCCCUCCCAACCGUUUAGCGUUCUCUCCCAACCGUUUUGCAUUCCCUCCCAACCGUUUAGCAUUCCCUCCCAACCAUUUUGCGUUCCCUCCCAACACUUUUGCGUUCCCUCGUAACAGUUUAGCGUUCCCUCGCAACAGUUUUGCGUUCCCUCGCGACAGUUUUGCGUUCCCUCGCGACAGUUUUGCAUUCCCUCGUCAAAGGUUUGCGUUCCCUCAUGACAGUUUAGCGUUCUCUCGUAAAAGUUUUGCGUUCCUUCGCAACAGUUUUGCGUUCCCUCGUAAAGGUUUUGUGUUCCUUUACAACAGUUUUGGAUUCCCUCACAACAGUUUUGCAUUCCCUCGUGACAGUUUAGCGUUCUCUCGUAGAAGUUUUGCGUUCCUUCGCAACAGUUUUGCGUUCCCUCGUAAAGGUUUAGCAUUCCUUCACAACAGUUCAGCAUUCCCUCGCAACAGUUUUGUUAACACAUGUUUAGAUUAAUAAAUACUGUAAAUAUAUUUUGUUCAUUGUUAGUUAAAGAUACCUAAUGCAUUUACUAAUGUUAACAAAUGUAACUUUAUAAUAAAGUGCUAACAAUAUUGUAGACUGUAGUUAUCAUAGUUUUUUGUGGAAAAUAUGUUUUUCCAUAGUAAUUUUGUAGUAACCAUGAUUUUUUUGGCUAACCGUUUUUUUUGUUUUGUUUUUUUUUAAUUGUUUUUUGGUGGAAACCAUGGUUUUACUAUAGAUUAACCAUGGUUAAUUUUGUGGUUACUAUAGUUUUAAAUCAAAAUAACCACAAAAUUAUAAUUUAUAUUUCCAUAGUUUUUGUUUUCCUGUAUUAGUACUAUGGUUUUACGACGAAUAUCAAGGUUAAAAUAUGGUUAUUUUAGUAAAACAAUGGUACAUUUAUUGCAAGGGAACGCAAAACUUGUAGAAUUGUGAUUCUCAUGACUGUAGUUUUUUAUUACAGUAAAGAAAAAUAGUAAAAUAGUAAAAUACAAUGGUACUAAAAGGGCAGUGAACAAAAUACUAUCAUGAUGCAUAAAUACGUCACAAUUUAAAUAUAGUAAUUUUUGCAUUAAAAUUAACUAGCUUAUUUGCAAUGAAAAUAAUGUCACUAUUUCAAAAUAUCUUAAUGGUCCUCUAAAAUAGACUUUUGGGUGAAAUAUGACCUGGACUUGUUCUAGACUGGUUUUGUGAGAUUCAUCCAUAUGUUUUUGAUUUGUUUUUUGUUUGUUUGUUUGUUUUUUUGGUUCCAGAAACACUUUUUCUUUUCAGAUGAAAAGCAAAAGGGACGAAUAGUCUGACAGAUGCAUAACCUCAAACGUGUUAUUACACAACUCUCUGCUGUAGUUUCACGUACUAUUUUUAUCCGGCCUCAUCUUUUCCCCCAUCAGUGUUACAUGCAAGUAAAUCAGGACUAUAUUUAUGAUGUCAUGAUCAUUUGUUUUGUUUUUUGUAAAUUGCUUUUUUUUAAAGUAUAUUGUGUUUUAUACAUGCUGAUAUUUUAUUGUGAUUUCAAGUAUAAAUAUAUUUUAAAGUGUAUUAUUUUACUGUGCCAUUUGGAGUCACAAAUGAAAAUAAUAAUAAUAAUAAUAAUAAUAAUUAAAAGGAAAUUAUCUAUCUCAAACCUUUAUAUACAGGGUUCCCUGCCUCUGAUUUUUACCAUUUAAAAGCAUCCAGCUUUGGAUUGGACAACAAUGCACAUUUAGGCUAUAGCAGUAAAUAGUAAAGGCCAAUUCAUAGAAAACAAUGAUAUAUAACAUAAGAAAAACUCUAGAUAUUAAAUAUGAAUGCUAUUUAUGUCCAGGGAAUGUGUCUCCAGAAGCUGUUUACUCUUUCUGAUGUACUGUUACAGACAUCUAUGUCAUGUUGUUUAUCAGUCAUAGCUUAUUGAAAGAAACCAUCACCAUGGUGCAAUAUAACAAGAGACAUUAUGCUAUGUUUACUAUAUCUGGGUACUAUAACCAUAAGUCCGCUACCGCUCAAAAACAGGAAGUAAGAAGGAAACGGUUGUUUGUUGCGUCCUGCAUACAUGAAUGUAAUCACUGUAGCAUGUCAUGCUAUUGUUAAAGUUUCUCUUUUACAGCCAUUGUAUUUAAGGUCACGUUUAAGGCCAGAAACAUACUCUACACAAGUACGCAAGUGUAAAUGUUUGGCUUGCACGCAGUCCAAUUGCGUUCUUGCAUUGCUGUGGCUGUAACACACUUUUAAUACUCAAGGGGGCGAUAGAGUUAGGUUCAAAUGCCAUUAAACUCAAUGUGUUGUUUAGAUAGCUAACCACAAACUUGUCGACAGUUUAUCAAACUUUAACUAGCUCAAAAAAAAGACGUUUAUUUUCUUUAGAAAAAGCGAAAGUCGUGGUUUCGGUGAGGCACUUACAAUGGAAGUGAAUGGGGCCAAUCCGUAAACGUAAAAGUAUAUACCAUUUAAACAACUUUACAGCUCAAAUAAUACUCGAGUUUUAACAGACGUAUUAAUGUAAGAGCUUUUAUCAAAUUUAAAGCUUCACAUUCACAAAAAUUGGCCCCAUUGACUUCCAUUGUAAGUGUCUCACUGUAACCUCCAUUUUUGCUUUUUUUAAAGAAAAGGAGGAACGAGUCUAAAUUAAAUUUUGUUGUAAUCAACAUUAUGGCACAAAUGCUGUCGACUGAGCUUAACUUGUAUUGUAUAUUCCUUAAAAAUGCAAGGAUGCAUGAAACUGAGCUUACGUAGCUAGACGCGCUUGCGUUCAUGUACUUGCAUACAGUAUGUUUCGUGUCUAAGAGUGUAUGUUUAAAAAAAAAAAAAGGAAAUAUUAUUUUUUAAAGAGAUGUAUUAUCUUACGUAUGACAUUUGUUUUAAGUUGAAUGAUCCUGCUCUGUGUUUCUUGAAAACAAAUUUGUGCUUUCGGAUUUUCUGUGUGUUUGCGCUCUCGUGAGGACAGUUGUAAACGGUGCAAUUUGUGUAUUUUAUUUUGAUUUUUUAUUGUGUAAAUCAAUGUGUAAGGAUGUAAAAAUAAGUAUAGCCAUUGUCUUAUUCAAAUAUAUAUAUAUAUAUAUAUAUAAAAAUCAAAAUAAACCUGACCCAUGUUUUUGUUUCUCGGUCCAAGAAGAGACUUCGGCUAAUCACAAUCACAUUCGGCGAAAACUUGAAGUGUGCGUAACAUGCAAACAACCUUCAAAAUUUAGUGUGCGAGCUGAUGUUUAUUUUUGUGGUGUUUCUGUAAUUAUAGCCUGCAAUUAUUUAGUUAUAAGUAAUUACACAAUUUAAUUACAAUUGUUGAAAUGUCUAAUUGUCCAAAGUUUAAAUGUUAUUCACUGAAAAUCUUGCCCUAGCUCUCUUUCAUGAGAGAAACGGUGAUAUACAAUUUAAUUAAUUAAUUAUUCUUUUGAGUCGGAUGUUUUCAGUGAAUCGGUUGAUCCAAUCUGAGUGAUUCGUUCACGAAUUUAACUAACUGCAGUUCAACUCGCUGACUCGAUCCAGUCGAUGCUAUUAACAGCUUACAGGAGGCGGAUUUAAAUUAUCAGUAAAAAAUGACUCAAAUCUGGGUUUGUUCCUCAAACAUCAUACGACUUGCAAUAUAGCACAGGAGUCGUAUGGACCACUUUUAUACUUUUAAGGUUUUUGCAUCAGUGGCGUAGCCAAGGGUGGGCCGGGGUGGGCCUGGGCCCACCCAAAUCAGACCCUGACCCACCCAAAAUAUUAGAGGAUUUUCUUUGACUUCAAAUAUAUAUAUUUAUAAAACAGUGUU